UUUUUUAUUUAUUUUAACAUUAUGUUGCCCUUGACUGGCCUUUUCUUCUCUGCUACAUGUAUCCUCUACAUGUAUCCUCUAGCUAGCUGAAUUACUGUCCUAUAAUUCUAACACAUGUAUGUUGUAAGAUGUUAGAAAAAUCAUUAUGGAACAACUUAAUCUUUAUUUAGAAAAUAACUUGAUACUGUCAGAUUCCCAGUUUGGCUUCAGGGCUGGUAGGAGUGUUGGGGAUCAAUUAGCUACUCCUAACUUAUGAUGAAAUAAGUCAAGGUGUUGAUGCAGGUAAUACUAUCAAUCUAAUCUUACUUGAUUUCUCCAAAGCUUUUUAUACAGUUUGACAUUCCAUUCUGAUCACAAAAUUACACCACCUGGGCAUCACUAGUAAUAUUUUAUCCUGGAUACACAACUUUCUUAUUGGGAGGGUUAUGUCAGUUGUUGUGAAUGGUUAUUCUAGUUCUCCCAGAAGUGUGUUAAGUGGUGUACCUCAGGGCACAGUCCUGGGUCUAGUUCUCUUCUUGAUUUAUAUUAACCUCUUCAUUCAACUGCCAAUGUAAGAUCUUUGGUGAUGACUUUCAAUCAGUACUUUAUUGAUGAUAUUCUCAUCUCAUUUACCAAUCAGAAUAAAGAUUUAGGACUACUGAUUGAUAUUUGACUGAAAUUUCAUGACCAUACUUGUUCUGUGGUUUCCAAAACAGGUGGUGUGACUUAUAAACCUACUUAAGUCAACUCUAUGUUGAUCACAGGAUUUUAUGAUGUAACUAUAUGUAACUCACAUCCAUUCUCUUCUUGAAUUCAGCUCAGUUGUGUGGAAUUCCUUUUUCUUGCAAGUCUUGUUUUCACUUAUUUGUAUACCCAUUGCCUGACUUUAUACCUAUCUUUUCUUUUGUAACUUGAUCUCUCAUGUGUACCCUGUCCCUAUCAGGCCUUUAAUCCAUUGUUUUUCUCCUGGUCUGAUUUCACAUCUUUUCAACUACUCUCUCAAUUUGUUUGUCAACUUCUGUUUAUUAUAUAUGAUGUUCUGUAGUUACUUUAACUGCCCUUCCAUAAUUCUUGUUUUCAUCCUUGAAAUUCCAGUUUCUCCAUAUAGAGCUGCUUCUUGGAUAUAGCUUGGGUAGACUCCAUGUGUGAUAUGUAUCCUUAUUAACAGGUAAUUUUGUGAUGUGAAUUGUAAGUUUAUUCUUAUGUCAUCUUCCAGUGUUUGUGAAUUGUAAGUUUAUUCUUAUGUUGUCUUCCAGUGUUUGUGAUCUUGGAUCUUUGGUACAUGGGACUGUGUUGGGAGUGAGUGGGAUUCACCUAUGUGUGUAGUAGAGGCACUGUGUUGGACCUUAUAGUGAAGAAGAGUUACUUCCAGUGCUGUCUUAUUCACGUCUUGGUGAAACAGUUCAACACACUCCCUUCCAAAAUGGGUGAGCAAUUGGUGAAACAACAAACAAUUGCCAAAUGCAACUUCACAAGGGAAGGCAACUUAUUCAAGGAGGCACAUGCCCAGGAAGAUCCUUGAAGUUUUAAAGGGUACUUAUGAUGAGGUUUGAGUCAGCCGAGAGAAGGGGACAAAUGUCUUGAAACCUCCCUCUUAAAAGAAGUCAAGUUAUAGGAAGAUGGAAAUCCAGCAGCAAGUAGGGAGUUCCUGAGUUUACAAGACAAAGCUUGAAGUGCCCUUCAUUCUGUCUCCACCACUGGAGUGGGUCUCCUUCAUGCCUGUGGAUCACUGGCUCCUUGAAAUACAGAUGUAGCUCAUCUUCAAUGCAGCUACUGGCCAGCAGGUGACCAGUGUGAAGUGCCAGCAACAUCUCAUCAACACGGCUGCGGAAAGAGUUUCUGUUGAAUCUCCUCUCUUCUGUGCAUCCUUGAAGAGUCCAACCUUCCUGUUGAAUCUCCUUUUGGCAGUGGCAUGGUCCUUCUUCAGUUGUUCCAUAGCUGCUCUGCUAGAUUGCCAUAUUAUAGUGCAGG
rnacentral:lncRNA from 1 species